GCAGUAAAGAAGCCGACUAAAACCUACCAAAACCAAGAUGGCCAUGAAGAGUGACCUUUGGUCAUUCUCACUGCUACACUCUCACCAGUGCCAAGACAGUUUACAAAUGCCAUGGCAAUGACAGGAAGUUCCCCUAUAUGGUCUAAAAAGGGGAGGCAUGAAUAAUCCACUCCUUGUUUAGCAUAUCAUCAAGAAAUAACCAUAAAAAUGGGUAACCAGCAGCCCUUGUGGCUGCUCUGUCUAUGGAGUAGCCAUUCUUUUAUUCCUCUACUUUCUUAACAAACUUGCUUUUGCUUUGCACUGUGGACUCUCCCUGAAUUUUUUCUUGCCCAAGAUCCAAGAACCUUCUCUUGGGGUCUGGAUCAGGACCGCUUUCCUGUAACAUCUUUCUGGCAACCACAAAGGGAUGAUACUGAAGAGACCCCCUAAUCUCAACUGAAAAUCAUCUGCUUGCACCAAUUUUGGCUGACUUUGGGUCAGCUGGGGCUCUGCUCUGCAUCUUCCUCCCUCUGGAACCCUAGCUGAGUGAGUGGUCACUAUCUGGAACAUUGCUGGCCAUUGUGACAGAGGGGGCACUGAGCUCUGGAGGGUUUCACACAGCAGGUCCUAAAACCUAGGAAGACUUUUCUGACCUUCCCCUGAAGCAGGCCUAAGACCCUCCUGUGAGAGACCAGGCUGGGCGAUACAGCGAGACCCUGCCUCGAAAACACCAUCACCACCACCACCACAAACAGCAGCAAAACCCCACCCAGGUUUAAUUACUUCUUCAGGUCUUCAUUUUUUUUCAUGUAUAACUUACAUUAAAUAAAUUAGUAUGCUUUCUUCUUCUUAAUCUGUCUUUUGUUACAGGGGUUCCAGACAAUGAACCUAAGAUAGAUAGAAGGAAAAGAUAAGUUGCCUCCCCUAUGAAGGCUAAGGCAACAUGUUGAGCCAAGAUACACCAGAUUCUAGAACCUGAGCAUUUAGCUUCAACCUCUUGGGGUUAUCUCCAGCCUCCAACUGGUGGGGGGUCAGCCCCUGAACCAAAGGUUUGUGUUUCCAAGAUUUCUGUCAAUGUACUGGUCACAGGGAUGGGCUCAGGCAGCUGUGGGUGGAGGAGAAGCAGAGAGGAGAGUGGGCAAUGGUGGCCCCAAAUGUGGUCCAGAAAUGGUUCCUGCUGGAGGUUACAGGAGAGGACAGGGUGAAUGGAUGAGUCAGACUACCAGUAUCACUUGGGGCUCAAAUAUAGCAUGUGAGAGUCCCUGCCUUUGCCACACUAGACAAGGGGGUUUGGCUCAAAAUAGCACAGAGGGGGGUUCUGUAGCAGUGAGAGAAAUCUAGCAUAGUUGACUCCAUCUUGCUUCUAACCCCCAAGCAAACUGCCUUUGCUCAUUCCUGCAUGUAGGCCCAGCUAACUAUGGGAGGAAUUUAGUGUAUAGCUUAACUUUAAAGCAAGGAUGAUAAUAGGGCCUUCCCCAAACUAACCCCUGAGGAGAUAAGAAGGGCAUACACCCAAGAACAAUGUUAUGCUAAAGACUUGUAGGAGUGCUGUGACCUGAACAAAGAAAAAGAAGUUAUGAAACUCCCUCAGACUCUUGCUGACACCCAGAUGUCUGUGGUCACCUGUCACCUCCUGACCUUAACCCCCUCCUUGUUCCCUUUACCCAAUAUAAAAAGAAGCUUGAGAUUCAUACCUUUGAAGAUGGUCCUUUAGGACACCAGUCUGCCAUCUUCUCAGUUUGCUGGCUUCCUGAAAUAAAGUCACUUUCCUUUAUUUGGAAAGAAUAGUUGAGUAUGUCUUGUCUUAUUGGCUGUUGUGAGACGAGUGGUAUGAGCUUUGGAUUUGGCUACGGUUCCAGAAUGAACUCUGGUGUUGGGCAGAGCUGGCUCACUUACCAGAUCUGGUGCAAAGCCCUUAAUCCGAGCCUUAGUUUCCUCUGUAAAGUAGGGAUGAUAAUAAUAUACAUCUUGUAGGAUUAUUGUGAGGAUUAAAUGAAAUAAUGUGGUAAAGCAUUUAGCACAGCACCUGAUACACAUGAAGUGUUCCAUAAAUGGUGUCUAGAAUAACGUAGUAGCAAUCAUAAAAUAAAAACAACCACAAAAACCAGCUACUAAUGGUUUCCUGAUCUCUCUCACACAGUAAAUAAAUCCUUGUGUGAAA
rnacentral:lncRNA from 1 species